rnacentral:rRNA from 1 species
GACGAACGCUGGCGGCGUGCUUAACACAUGCAAGUCGAACGGAAAGGCCCGGCUUUGGUGGGGUGCUCGAGGGGCGAAGGGGGGAGUAACACGUGAGUAACCUGUCCUUGACCGAGGGAGAACUUCAGGAAAGUGGGGCUAAUAGCGGAUAGGAUCUCCUGCUGCAUGGUGGGGGUGGGAAAGUUUCGGCUGUUGGGGGUGGACUCGCGGCUUAUGAGCUUGUUGGUGGGGUAGUGGGUUAGCAUGGCUUUGACGGGUGGCCGGCCUGAGCGGGUGACCGGCCCCGCUGGGCCUGGGAUACGGCCCAGCCUCCUCCGGUACGCAGCACUGCAGAAUAUUGCACUAUGGGCGGAAGCCUGAUGCGGCCACGCCGCGUGCGGGAUGACGGCCUUCGGGUUGUAAUCCGCUUUCGCCUGUGCCGGGGCGUUAGUGACGGUACUGGGUAAAGAAGCACCGGCUAACUACGUG